UCUGCCCAAAGUGGGGCUUGAACUCACAAUCCCAAGAUCAAAAGUCAAGUGCUCUAUUGACUGGGCCAGCCAGGGGCCCCUGCACUUAAUUUCUUGGCCUGGAAGGUGCAACAGGGACCUAGCACACAAGGCUGCUGUACAAGGGAGAUGAGCCUGGGAGCAGCAUUGGGGAGGCCGGCAGUCAGACUAUUUCUAACAGUGCUGACUUUACGUGAUCAUCGGCCAUGGACGUUCAAGGGCGAGAGACCAAACCCCCACCUCUCCCAGACGAGUCUGGGCGAGAACCAGUGAGGGCCGGGCAGAGAUUAGCUUCCAGAGGGCCUGAGAGAUACCACCUCCCAUCUCUUUCUGCCUGAUGGUCUCCUGUCUGGUCCUCAGCCACAAGUGACACGGAGCCCACCUCUCUCUAGAGGAACGUUCGACCCCCUCUGUGGAAAUGCGGAGUUAUGCCCAGAGGCUCACAUUGUCUUUGCCAGUAACUCAGGACUUACAAUUUAUAGAAAUAUUUUGCAGGGGACGAGCCUACAGUAUACAGGACAAUCUCUCUUUUUUAAAAAUUUGUAAUGUUUAUUAUUUAUUUUUGAGAGAGAGAGAAACAGAGCGUGAGCAGGGGAGGGGAAGAAAGAGAGGGAGACACAGAAUCCGAAGCGGGCUCCAGGCUCCGAGCUGUCAGCACAGAGCCCGACGCGGGGCUCGAACCCACGAACCAUGAGAUCAUGACCUGAGCCGAAGCUGGCUGCUUAACUGACUGAGCCACCCAGGAGCCCCAGGACGGUAUCUCUUAAUAGGCCAAUGAAGAAAUGACAUACUCCAAACCAGUGAUAGAUUGAUUACCCUGCUGGUCCAAGCAAAGGGGACAGAAACAAAGUCCAAAUUUAGUUGAGGUUGCUUUCUACAAGUUGGUUCUUGGAAGAGUCGAUCCAGUUAGCCCACCAGGAGCUGAUGUCCAGCCACCGGCACAGAGCAGAAGUCCCCUGAUUCCAGAGCAUGGCGCUGGGGACCAGAGCUGUGGGGGGAGGCGGGCAAGACGGCCCCCUUGGAGGGGCCACUGCACGGCCUUCACCCCUGCCAGCAAAGAGGGGCCUUGCUGCUCCAGAAGCCAGUGCCCCCAGGUCUGCAGAGAGCUUUCGAGCUCUGCAAAGGGUAGCCUUGCCCAGACGGAACACUCUCAGUGGGUCCUCACAAACUCUCGCCAUUUGAAGUUUCAAUGUCCGCUGCGUUCUGCAUACCUGUCCAUAUAUUCUUAUAUCCGUAAGUCCCCAGUGGUGCCCGCCAGCUGCUGAGUGACUGCUUAGUGACAACAGAUGUCAAGGAUGACGUCCUAACACAGCUUCCUCUAUAAAUGAAUCUCGUCCAGCGACAGCCACCGCCAUCCGGCACAGCAGCAGGGCACAUGAUGUAUCCCCCAGACUGGCAGGUGGGACGGCAGGACCCAGUUUAGCUCACCAAGAAGUUCAACUUGCCGACACUGAACCUUCAGCAGCCAGGAGGAAGCAGGGGCCAACGGAAGGCAAAGACAUCCCACAUCAGCAGAAGCAAAGCCUGUGCAGGACGAGAACACAGGGACCUCCCAGAGGCACACGCACCUCCCGUCUGCAGCCCAGCAUCAGGAGAGGCACAAAUUCUGCCCCAAAUUCCCAAGGAUGAUGAUGGGACUCCGAUCAGAGGCCAAGGCCAUGAAGUCCGGUCUGCCUCUUCCAGGGCCCGAGAGCGGCCUGUACAGCCAGUACGAGCAGAAGGUGAGCCCCCGCACUGACCUCAUCGGCUCCCUGCGGACCCUGGGUGUGGAGCGGGACCUGGCCCCGGCCACCAUCGCUGUCAUCGGGGACCAGAGCUGGGGCAGGAGCUCCUGCUGGACGCUCUGUCGGGGUCGCCCUCCCCAGAGGCAGUGGUAGGCAGAGCUGGGCCGGCUCUGCUCUCCCCGCGGGCCACAAAGCAUCCCGGGGGUACCAGGCAUUUCAGACAUUGGCCCCGGGAGGCUUGGGUCUACGGGCAUGGCCUGGGCUGCCCCCAGGUCUCUGACCCCCUUUCGCAUCCUUAGCCGUCGCUGGGCCUGUAUCCAUCGGGGCCCGGAACCUGACGGCCCAGCCCUGACUCCAGACCUUGUCCAGUGGUCUGGGGCAGGCAUGUCUUUGAUGACACCGAGCUUGUAAGUCUCAGGUGCCGUGUGAAGUCGUUCCGAAGAAUUUUCUCAGUGUUUGGAAAAAGCGAUUAGCUAGGGUGAUAGCGUGAUAAGACACGAUAUUUUCCUUAAAAAAAAAAAAAAAGUGAUUUUGUACACCUACGAUUUAAUAAAAUAAAGGAAAAAAGGGAGGAAAGAGAUAGUAGCCUCCUCGUGGGUUGGGGGAGGCUCCGUCCUGGUCCCUUCCCUUGGUCCCAUCUCCUGCCAGUGCUGUCAGAGGCCAAACCCAACCAGAACCCAGGGUUUGGGCACCACCGACGCCGUCCUGCCCGGGCUGCCCCCCGCCCUGGGCACAGAGGAGGGUGUGGGGACCCCAGUGGGCUGCCCAGAUCCUGCACAGCCCCCAACAGCAGCUGCCUCGCCAGAUGCCCCGGCCUGGGCUCCCUCCAGGUCACUGGCAGCCCAGUCCUUGAUCCCAGGGGGUCCUGUGAGAUCCCCGGUCAGCCUGGCGGAACACCUGAUGCACCAGAGAGGAAGGAUCCGGGGCAGUCGUCCCUCUGCUCCGCCGUGGGGUCGGCAUUUUGGGGAGAGGGGCAACAUGGUGGAGGGUCUGGGUGCCGGUGGCAGGCAUGUGACCCCUGGGCAUGUCCCCAGGCUGGAGGAGACGAUAAACGCUCUUAUAGAGCCAGCAAUACAAAGGAUACGUCAGUGCUCAGGACUCGGCGACAGGAACGCCCGGCCCCAAGAAGCCCAGGGCGGUUCCAGCCUUUCUGAGCUCCGGCUGUGCAAACUGCCCACUGAGAAUUCCCUUGAACCCCCUCCUUCGGACGUCCAGACUCUUGCCCUGGCUCUUGCUGCCUUCUCCCCACACCCACCGUCUGCAACUGUGAGGGGGCUUGGAGAUGCACGGAUCCCCCUGCUCCCCACAUUUCCGUCUGUCCCCUUCCCUCAGCCUCCACCUGGACAAAUGCAGGUCCUGUGGCUGAAGCCCGAGGCCUGACUCCAGCCCGGGAGUCCUGGGGGCCUUCAGACACUGAGCCGCGACUCCGGCUCGUGUGGCGGACAGAGCAGCACCGUGGGGACGUGGCCAUGGUCGGCCUGGAGACACUCCCCUGCCGAUGCCUCUGUCCCCGGGCCUGUGCUUCUUUGUGCCCGCCCAGUCCAGGCGGCCCCCAUCACCUCCCAGCCCUGGACAGGGACAGAAAUUUUAGUCCAGGACUCUGGGGACACUGGGGCAGUGAGUGUCCCACUUGGAGGUGAGAGGACAAGGCACCUGCGAACUUGGAAUGUUUGGAAAACUGCUCAGGACCUGUGACCUGGUGCUGAGAGACUCGGCUUCCUUCGGCCGGUCCUCAGGACAGUCCGUCCUCAGGACCCCUCCCAGGUAGGAAGGAGAUCCUUGAAGGUAGGAGGCACGGGGUUUCUGCAGGUGAGGCUCUGAUGGCCGCUCCCUCACUGUCCUGGUUCCUCCUCUGCUGCCUGGUCCCCACCAGGUGUUUCGGUCCCUACCGGGGAGCCCGCUGCCUCUUCCUUCCAGGCUUUUCCAUGUGCUGGUCCUCCUCUGAGAAAGGCCCCCGCGGGACUCCCGGCUGUCCUGGUCACCGCUGUCCUGGGGCACUGCUCUGGAGAUGAUGAAAGCAGGCCCUGUGGGACGCAGGGCUCCAUGUGACCGGUAACACAGCGUCUGGGGUGGAGGCCUUUCCGUGGCUUCCCGCGCUCAGCUCCCUGAGAAUCCGUGUCUGCAGGCCUCGAAUGGCUCAGCAGAGAGACCCCCUCCAGAAUGGAGAAGUCCUGCCCCCAGUCCUUGUGUUCACCCCCAAAUACAGAUGACCACCCCACAAGGCUGCUGGGCAGAGAAGGAUCUUCCAGGCCAGAUUUUCCAGGACUCACUUCCUGUUCCUGGGUGGAUCAGCGGCUAAUUCCAAGAGGAGAAGGAAGAGGGACGCCGGGAGGUGUUGAGGACUGAGGACACCCACGGAGACAAGACGAGGUGACUGGGGAGCAUCGUCCUUAUGUCUCCACGCUUGAGCUGGUAACCAAUGACCUCUGUCCUUGUCUUGUCCUUGGCUCGCGUGCCCCACGUAUCUGAUUUCUGCCAUCGAUACCCUCCCCUCACCUAGACCAUCUUGGACAUCGUCUCGUUUCAAGAGUGUCCCCUAGCCCCUGGCCCCUCAGUGUGACCUCCUCUGCUGGAGACUUGCAGAAAUGGCUGGGAAAAAACACCCCAGACCUGCUGAGUCAGAAUCUGGACUUGAACCGAGCUCCAAAAUGGGUCGUGUGCACUCAGAGUUUGAGAAACCAGGUUCAGAGCAGAGCCAGCUACACGACUUAGGGGCUCAGAGCAAAAUAAAACAGCAAGACCCCUCGUUCGAAACGACUUAGACUCUCAAGAUAGUGAAAGCAGACAGCAAACCAGGAGGGGACCCUUCCGAACACGGGGCUCCACGGGAUUAGUCCUGGUUCUGAGUGUGUGAGCACAAAAUAUCCACGUUGGUCCCUUUUCUGGUUUUGAAAAACAGCCCGGGGGAAGACUCCCGUUUUUUCCAGCUCACCUACGGGGCUUGCUCCCAAGAGCACGUCCUGGCAUGUCUGGUGCCCCCUUGGGCCUGAGGCCACUUGGACAUCACUGUGAGUAGCAGCUGAGCCAAGUGCGUGCAGAGCCGGGCAGCUGGGAGGGGGUGACGGAAGUGAGGCGGGUGGGGGGACUUUCUUAGCUCUGUCUAUGUCUCCUCCCUCCGGCCUUGAGAUUUGCUUUGCAAAGCUCUCGUGGAGGACCCCGGGGCCCAAAUCUUCAUGUCACUUCUCCAUUACCACGUCUGUCCUUCGCCCCUGCACCGAGACUUGGCUUGCAGAUGUGACGGGAGGUCCCUGCCGACGGCACUGAGGGGCCAUCUUUAUUGACACUUGGGUCUCUGUUACCAAGUGUGCACGCCGUCGGACUUGUGGCCCAGGGACCCUGUCCUUUGGCCAUCCUCUAGAACAGGAACUGGCCUGCCCACGGACAAGGCUCAAGUCCAGCUCAAGGAUAAUUUUUUUUUUUCAGUUUUUGAGCACUAUUAUAGAUUGUUUCUGUCAUAUCUAGGACAUAGCUGUUUUUUAAAACUUUUAGGACAAUGGGCGGCUUAUAGAACCCAGACACAAGUAGACUUUCCCGCCCACGCAGGUUAAAGGUCGCCAUCGGUUCCACAGUAAGGAGGAAUCUGAGACACAGGAUGGAAUCACUGAAUAUUUUUUAAGUUUAUUUGCCUGUUUUGGGAGAGAGCUGAGGAGAGGGAGAGAGAGAGUCCCGAGCAGGCUUCGGGCUGUCAGCACAGAGCCUGACGCAGGGCUCGAACCCACAAACCACGGGAUCAUGACCUGAGCUGAAAUCAAGACUGGGCCACCUAACCAACUGAGCCGCCCAGAUGCCCAUCACUGUAUAUGAUUUACGUGUAGGCUGGGAUACAUAUUCGGUAUCCCCUAAAUUAGAUACCAUUCUCAAAACGUCCUUUGAACCCCCAGUGAAGACUCUACAGAAAUAAUCUACUUGCAAAAAUAAACGUAAGGGAAGAAAUAAUCUUGCUUUCCUUCAGCUUCCUUUUCUCCAUCCAUCCCUUCCUUCCAUACAUCUUACCCCCCAAGAGACAGAGCAGGGGGAUUCCUGCAAAACGUUCCAGGACCUAAGAGAAGUGGCAGGUGGUGUUAAACAGGGACACGGGUACUACGGACAUGGUGUGUCUGCUUACGUGAUCUUGUUCGGCCGAGGGGUCCCACUCCCUGAGUUCCUCUGCUGUCCCUCCGGCAGACCCUGGGGUGACCGGCGGUUGACCCUGGGAGGUCCCCUCUUCUCAGGGGUCUGCUUAGCUCCAGACUGACCGCCGGCCUUCCGAUCGGCCCCCCCUUUCCAACAGAGAGGAAGCAGGCAGAUGGGCUUUUCCUUAAGUAUCGGGAAGUAGAGGGGUGUCUACGCCGCCCAGAAACACACUGUGCUAAACACACAAUUGACUGUGUGUGUUCGUAGUGUGCGUUUAUGUGUGUGUGUUGGUACAUGCUUUUGUGUACGUGUUAGCGUGUGCGUGUCUGUGUUUAUCUUCUCAUAAAAGUAGUAUAUACCUGUGUGCAUUAUCUGUUUGCUGCAUAACAAAUUAUCCCAAACCUGGUGACUUCAAAGACAGAAUUUGUUCUCUCCCACAGUGUGAGAGUCAGCAACUGCAGGGUCUCGGCUGGGGGGCUGUGGCUCAGGGUCCCUGGGGAGCCGUAGUUGAGGUAUUGGCUGGGUCUGCAUCGGCUGAAGGCUCGACUGUGGCUGGCGAGCCGCUCUUCACGUGGCCGUGAGCGGAAGGCCUCAGUGCCUUACUUUGUGGACCUCUCCGUCGGUCCCUGGUGUCCUCAGGACAGGGCUGCCAGCCUGCCCCAGAGAGAGCCAUGCAAGAGAAGGCAAGAGGCAGUCACGACACAUUUACUGCUAGUCCCACACGGUCACUUCCGCCAUAUCUAUCUUUAGACAGAAGUCCCUAUGUCUGGUUCGCGCUCAAGGUUUCACCUUUCGGAGGGAAGAGUGUGGAAGAAUUUGUGGGUGUAUUUUAAGCCACUGCCAUGGUCACUGGCAAAUAUCAAGAAGGGUAAAGAAAGAGGACAGAAUCCCUCUGUGACCCCACCGUGAACGUAUCGGUAUGUUUUCCUCCAGGCUUUUGGAAGGUGAAUGUCUAUGCUACGUUUGUGUUUGAUGGCCACACUAGUGGCCUCAGAGACCACUCCCCAGGCUUCUGUGAAGUGUUUUCUAAGCACCAGAGAAGUUUGGAGCCUCCUACCACUGCUUUUCCUCAGAUGGGUCAUUAAUCUGAAGGCUGGCUUUCCCGUCUCUGGGCCUCCACAGCCCAGAACACCAUAGCUGGCCUUGGAGUUAGCAUCAGCCAUGAGCUCAUCAGGCUGGAGAUCACCUCCCUGAGGUUCUGGAUCUGACCCUCAUUGAUCUUCCCAGCAUCACCAGCGUGGCCGUGGGAAACCAGCCCCAGGACAUCAGACUGCAGGCAAGUCUUUCUAGAACUUGGGAAUGGGCCAAGCUGAAGUUCAG